rnacentral:rRNA from 1 species
CGGUCCUACGGGGGGCAGCAGUAGGGAAUCUUCCACAAUGGACGAAAGUCUGAUGGAGCAACGCCGCGUGAGUGAAGAAGGGUUUCGGCUCGUAAAGCUCUGUUGGUAGUGAAGAAAGAUAGAGGUAGUAACUGGCCUUUAUUUGACGGUAAUUGCUUAGAAAGUCACGGCUAACUACGUGCCAGCUUCCGCGGGAAUACGUAGGUGGCAAGCGUUGUCCGGGUUUAUUGGGCGUAAAGCGAGUGCAGGCGGUUCAAUA